rnacentral:rRNA from 1 species
GGAGUUAGCCGGUGCUUCUUCUGUGAGUGAUGUCCUUCCUGCCGGCUAUUAACCCGCAGGCCUUCUUCCUCACUGAAAGUGCUUUACAACCCGAAGGCCUUCUUCACACACGCGGCAUGGCUGGAUCAGGGUUGCCCCCAUUGUCCAAUAUUCCCCACUGCUGCCUCCCGUAGGAGUCUGGGCCGUGUCUCAGUCCCAGUGUGGCUGAUCAUCCUCUCAGACCAGCUACGGAUCGUCGCCUUGGUGAGCCGUUACCUCACCAACCAGCUAAUCCGACAUAGGCUCAUCCGAUAGCGCGAGGCCCGAAGGUCCCCCGCUUUCCCCCGUAGGGCGUAUGCGGUAUUAGCCUGGGUUUCCCCAGGUUAUCCCCCACUACCGGGCAGAUUCCUAUGCAUUACUCACCCGUCCGCCGCUCGCCACCAGGGAGCAAGCUCCCCGUGCUGCCGCUCGACUUGCAUGUGUAGCGUCGCCGCCNCGCGUCUAUACUGACGACGAGACUACUACCUACGA